GCCGAGCUCAGUAACGUGGGCUUGUCACCCAAGUGGGGGCUCGAAGGUGUUGGAACGUUGUUCGAGCCCUUAUGGCAGGAUCAGGCUUGGCUAAAUUUCUGGCUUGCCCGUUCCAAGCUGAGAGUUAAACCAUGGGACCUGGGCGUAGGCUUGGGUCUCCUAGUUCCUAGAGCAGAGGGUAAUGCGUGAGGCUGGCUUCACAGAGCAGCGAUUACCUCUCGCUCCCAGCAGUGGAAGGAUAACAGGUCAGUACCAUCCUGGUUCAUAUGGCUAGAUGGGCUGUGCUAACUGGACCAUCACUUUU
rnacentral:SRP_RNA from 1 species